GACGAACCGUGCGAACGUUAUUCGGAAUCACUGGGCUUAAAGCGCGUGUAGGCGGACGGGGACGUCGGUCGCUGAAAUCCCCCGGCUCAACCGGGGAACGGGCGCCGAAACGCCCCGUCUCGAGGGACGUAGGGGGACCUGGAACUUCCGGUGGAGCGGUGAAAUGCGUUGAGAUCGGAAGGAACGCCCGUGGCGAAAGCGAGGUCCUGGACGUCUUCUGACGCUGAGACGCGAAAGCGUGGGGAGCAAACAGG
rnacentral:rRNA from 1 species